GUGCCAGCCGCCGCGGUAAUACGUAGGGGGCGAGCGUUGUCCGGAAUGACUGGGCGUAAAGGGUACGUAGGCGGCCAGGUAAGUCAGAUGUGAAAGGUAUGGGCUCAACCCAUGUUAGCAUUUGAAGCUGCUUGGCUUGAGUCAAGGAGAGGAAAGUGGAAUUCCUGGUGUAGCGGUGAAAUGCGUAGAUAUCAGGAGGAAUACCAGUGGCGAAGGCGACUUUCUGGACUUAGACUGACGCUGAGGUACGAAAGCGUGGGGAGCAAACAGGAUUAGAUACCCUGGUAGUCCACGCCGUAAACGAUGAGUGCUAGGUGUCGGGGGUCAAACCUCGGUGCCGGAGUUAACACAUUAAGCACUCCGCCUGGGGAGUACGUUCGCAAGAAUGAAACUCAAAGAAAUUGACGG
rnacentral:rRNA from 1 species